rnacentral:rRNA from 1 species
AUUGAACGCUGGCGGCAGGCCUAACACAUGCACGUCGAACGAGUGGCGGACGGGUGAGUAAUGUCUGGGAAACUGCCUGAUGGAGGGGGAUAACUACUGGAAACGGUAGCUAAUACCGCAUACCAUCAGAUGUGCCCAGAUGGGAUUAGCUUGUUGGUGGGGUAACGGCUCACCAGGGCGACGAUCCCUAGCUGGUCUGAGAGUGUGACCAGACGCGGUGGAACGGAUACACAGACCAGACUGCUGCGGGAGUCAGAGGUGGGGAAUAUAACGCAAUGGGCGAAAGCCUGAUGCAGCCACGCCGCGUGAAUAAAGGAGGUCUUCGAGUUGUAAAGAACUUACAGCGUGGGGGGGUUACCCGCAGGAGAAGCACCGGCUAACACCGUUCCAGCAGCCGCGGUAAUAC